CACUUUGUGCUAUUCUCCCAGGAACAGCCAUUGUCUGUCUACCCUGCAUUCACCAAUGCUCCAUCUUCUCACCUUGGGACAGAACUGAAGCAGGCCUGGGUUUAUAGAAGCAACACAACACUUCAAUACUCUCAUGAAAGACUGAUCCUGAGAAGUAGACUGGAAGCUUGAACAGCUGACUCGUUUUUCUUCUGCAAACUAAUCUGAGGAUGCUGGGCACUCCAAUGCCUCUCAUUAAAAUGAAGUGGGUCCACUUUACAAGCUGAGACUUUAAGAAAAGCACCAAAUAUCAUGAGUUGGCAACCCUGAGAAUAGCAUGCACUUGAAUUAACACUUGUGGCUGGACGAGGGAAGUAUCCAUUUCAUCAUAAGAGCAAAUGAGUCAUGCAGAUGCUAUUGCGUUUUGGAGCACGGUACAUUUGUGCUCCUUAUAGCCGUCCUGAGCACCUACUGUAUGUGUGAUACAAAUCUGAAGACGUUUGCCAAAUCUCCUGGUCCCAGGCAAUAGUGGAAAAUUAUCUGCAUAAUAAACCAGCAAGAAACCUCUUUGCAAAUUCUGCAGUGUUAUCUCCAGUAGGGAUGGUAUGAUUUCCUCUUAGUGGCUCUCUCUUGCAAUGGGCUUCACACUUAGAAACACUGCUUUACACCAUGGCAAUGUGUGAGAGAGAGACCUGAGGCUUGUAUUAACCCGGUUUACGUCUGAGAACGCUUGUCAUUCAGUCACCCUGCUGAAAGCUUUGAAGUUAACUUUUUGUUUUAAUUUACAAUAUAUCUUUGAUUGUUUUUGAUACAACAGUACCAGCUAAAUAAACAUGGACUGAAAAUUCUGCUUUGAAAUAGGGCUCUCUAAAAAUGGCAUUACCAGCAGACGUUCCUGAAACAACGUUAGAUCAAUUGUGCUGCAUUUACACAUGAAAAGAUUUUUGUUUUUUCUAACAUCAAGCCCUGUAAACUCAGCCUGGACUCUGAGAGUUAAGCUGGGUUCUCAUUUUUGUGGAUCAUUGCUAGUAAUGAAGGUUUUGCAAACCAAAUUAGUCCCUCUGUAAUACCAAUGCAAUCCCUUUUACCCUCAUUGGUCAUAAGGAAUUAUGUUAAUGCAUAAGGUGGAGUAGAAUCCCCCCUCCCAUGAAUUCUUACAGAAAUAAAUACCAGUAAAAACUUAUGCAAAGUGAGUAGAUUUGAGGAAGGUGGUGUCAUUUUUAGACAGCCAUUUUGCAAAAUAGAAUAAUUUUGUUAAGCUGCCUCUAUCGGAGAGUUGAUCUAAAAUGGGGAUUUGUGGCUCUCAAUAUGCUGUUUCUCCAGCCAAAAUCUGCCCAGCACAAGGACGUUGGUGUGGGAGGAGAGGGCCUGGUGUGUUAUGCUAAAGAGUAAAACUGUAAAUAUGUAAUGCCCAAUACAAACAGCUGUUGCCUUGGUGACCAGACAAACUCAAACUGACACCAUGAGACAUUAUUAGAUUCCUUUCCAGGGUACAUGUGAGCUUGCUUGGCAGUUAUGCUAUCGGAGGGGGGCACCAUGUGGAGUAAGAUGGGAACCUGCACAUCCAUUGCUUGCGGAAGUGGCUGCCCAGCAAACAAACUACUGCAAACCAGCAUGCCUACUGCCUUGCAAACUCAGGAAACAAUCCCAAGGUGGCCAAAGUUAUAGGGUUUUGUGUGAAAUUAAGAUUUCAUUGUAAUUUCUAACUCAAAACCAAGAUCUUGGGGGGAGAGGACUCCUCCUGCAGUUUAUCUUCCUGUCAAAGUAAAUCCAUCCUGCAUAAAUGUUCAGGAUGUUAGUGUCAAAUAUUGUGCAUGGGUUUUUAAAUUGGCAAGAUAAUUUUAUGGUAAAUAAAGGUUUAAAAAAAAGAAAAAAAACUUGGACUGAAGGGAAAGAAGCUUAUCAUAAGCCUCCUGCCCCACACCAUGCAGGCUUUCAUAUCAGAUACUAGCCACUGCUGGAUGCCAGAUACUAGACAUAAUGGACCAAUGAUAGGAUUUGACAUAUUGUAUCAAAUGUUCCUGUCCAAUGAGGUAAUGGCAUGAAAUUGCAUGUACAUAAUUUCCUUCAAAAUGACCUCUUUCCAGUUGAUUAUUAGUUCUUCUAAUACUCCUUCCUCAUUACUAAUAGAUCCCCGCUGACAUAGAUUGUUUGUUCUGGCAUGGAUUCUAUUAUCAGAGAGCCAAUUGCUUUAAUAUUCUAUUACAACUUAUGUUCACUUACAUAAGGCUUGAUUAACCAAACGUGUAUAAAUGUUAAGCUGUCUGAAAGACAAAAUUAGAGCUAAUGAGUUUGGAAAACCACUGCUGUGAAGAGAGUGUUUCAUAAAAAUAAUACUAACGUUUUUUUCUUUUGAAAGCUCUUCACGUGUGCGACACUGAAGAAAGCUUUGGGAAAGUCGUUGUUCCACUGCUCCAAAAAGCACAUUUUAGAGCAAACAAAGUUCUCCCAUCCAGCAAAAGUGGUGUGAAAAAUAAGCUUUGCAAAAAGAAACAUUUUCCCCCUCUUAGUUCAGACCUUCUACAAACCUUCAUCUUCCCCAAUGUUCCAUUAGCAUUUUCAACAAUCUAAAGUUGCUAAAAACCGCUGAAAAAAGGAGGGCUUCAAUUUUCAAAAUAGUGCAUGGAAAAAUAUAAAAUCUCAGUGCAUUUUGUGGCAUGAAUGCAAACUUCAUUGAAGUUAGACGAAACUAAGCUUCAGCUUAGCACAACAUAUUGCCUAUCCACAUUUCCCAACACCUCAGGUUUUGCAAGGUAAAAAUUAAUUUUUAAGUAACUCUCUCCUCUACUCCCCACUCUCCCCUCAUUAUUUAUAAAGCAGCUAUUGCUUCUCUAGCUAUGUCUACACUGCACGUGACUUUCAGCAGUGUGUAGAAUAUGUGUAGCUACACACGGCAUUGAAAAGCAAGCUGUGUCCUCGUGGUGUGUAGUUAACGUGUCAGUGAAAGGUUCUGGCAGGCAACAAGGAAAAGCUGAGCCUUUUCUCAGCAGCUCCCUCUUGCCAGAGCCUUUCUCCUCAGCUGGAGUUGGCUCUCCCAUCAAGACAGAGACCUAUGUAGUACUCUGAUACCUACCCACCCCCUUUACGUGUGUCUUUACUCUACUUGCCGAAGCUGUAUCUUGCUGGCACCACUGCUACUUAAACCUGCCUACAUCCGCUACACACCAUCGAAAGAAGCAUGCAGUGUAGGUGUAGCCUAUAGGUACUUGCAUAUCACAAACAAUUCAAAAUGUUUAUAGGUAUUACGUAGGCAUCUAUAUAAAUUUAAAAAAAGGCAUCUGAACGUUGAGCUGGAUCCACUUUAGUUUUACUGGGGAGGACGGUGGGACUGACCAGCUGCUCAACCUAGAAGACGGACAUCUGCUAAAGGGCCUCAAAGAUUCUGGAAUCCAUAUUGCUUAUUGAAAGAAAUAUGCUUUAGUAUCUGUGUCUAUUAUAGACAUUUUAUUAAAACUUUCAACUACAAUAAAAUCAAGAAAACAAAGUUAUUAACUAAGAAAAUGCUAACUUUAAAAUAAAACAUUUCUUUCAGUA